UUUUAAUGUAAAUUUCCCCUUCUCUGUACAUAUAUUUUCCAGGAUCAAAGUCAUAUGCUAAGGAGGAAAGAUCAAUAAUUAUCAGAUGGCAGAAAAGCUGCCCUGGAAUCUCGGAAGCCACUUAUGGGUCAGGAUCUCGGAAGGAUUCUUCAUUCUCUGAAAAACUGGUAAUUUCAAGACCCCAGAA
rnacentral:lncRNA from 1 species